GACGAACGCUGGCGGCGUGCUUAACACAUGCAAGUCGAACGGUAAGGCCCUUCGGGGUACACGAGUGGCGAACGGGUGGAGUAACACGUGGGUGAUCUGCCCUGCACUUCGGGAUAAGCCUGGGAAACUGGGUCUAAUACCGGAUAGGACCAUGGACUUCACGGUUUGUGGUGGAAAGCUUUUGCGGUGUGGGAUGGGCCCGCGGCCUAUCAGCUUGUUGGUGGGGUAAUGGCCUACCAAGGCGACGACGGGUAGCCGGCCUGAGAGGGUGUCCGGCCACACUGGGGACUGAGAUACGGCCCAGACUCCUACGGGAGGCAGCAGU
rnacentral:rRNA from 1 species